rnacentral:rRNA from 1 species
AUUUUCGUCUAUGGCCACCCUGAAUGUGUCUGAUCUUGUCUGAUUUUGGAAGCUAAGCAGGGUUGGACCGGGUUAGUACUUGAAUAGGAGAAAAUA